UACAGAGGGUGCAAGCGUUAAUCGGAUUUACUGGGCGUAAAGCGUGCGUAGGCGGUCUGUCGCGUCUGCUGUGAAAACUCGGGGCUUAACCCCGGGCCUGCAGUGGGUACGGGCAGACUAGAGUGCGGUAGGGGAGACUGGAAUUCCUGGUGUAGCGGUGAAAUGCGCAGAUAUCAGGAGGAACACCGGUGGCGAAGGCGGGUCUCUGGGCCGUAACUGACGCUGAGGAGCGAAAGCGUGGGGAGCGAACAGG
rnacentral:rRNA from 1 species